ACACAUGAAUAUGAUGAAGCAGGAGACACUGGGAACAAGCAGAAACCAGCCAGGUGAACUGCAUCACCAGAUCUCUCAAAAUCAUCACGAAGCUAGUCUCUCUAGGUCGGUUACCAAAGUCCAAAGGCGUCAUCUUACAGCACAUGCCUUGUCCAGAUGGGAUAUAUUGAACAAGGUAAGCAAACAUAAAAUGAAUAUAAAGCGCGCAUCUCCUCUUUAGUAGCUAAAGGGGUCUAUACAAGAUUACUAAACACGGCAAUUGAACUAUUCAUCAUUGCACAUGUCACAUGCUGACCUCAGAAACAACACCCUGCUACUUCUUCAGACGUGGACAUUCCAGGAUCUCU